ACAAAUGUUUCUGGCAGCUUUAUUCCUAAUUGACAAAACUUGGAAGCAACCAAGAUGUCCUUUAGUAGGCAAAUGGUUAAACUGUGGAAUAUUAGUGCUAUAAAAGAAAUUAGCUAUAAAGCCAUGAAAAGACAU